rnacentral:rRNA from 1 species
CCUACGGGAGGCAGCAGUGAGGAAUAUUGGUCAAUGGGCGGAAGCCUGAACCAGCCAAGUCGCGUGAGGGAAUAAGGCCCUACGGGUCGUAAACCUCUUUUGCCGGGGAGCAAGGGCGGGGACGUGUCCCGUCCCGGAGAGUACCCGGAGACAAAGCAUCGGCUAACUCCGUGCCAGCAGCCGCGGUAAUACGGAGGAUGCUAGCGUUAUCCGGAUUUAUUGGGUUUAAAGGGUGCGUAGGCGGGCUUUUAAGUCAGCGGUAAAAAUUCGGGGCUCAACCCCGUCCGGCCGUUGAAACUGGGGGCCUUGAGUGGGCGAGAAGAAGGCGGAAUGCGUGGUGUAGCGGUGAAAUGCAUAGAUAUCACGCAGAACCCCGAGUGCGAAGGCAGCCUUCCGGCGCCCGACUGACGCUGAGGCACGAAAGUGCGGGGAUCGAACAGGAUUAGAUACCCGUGUAGUC